rnacentral:tRNA from 1 species
GCAACAUUAACUCAGUGGUAGAGCUGGAGGUUUCCAACCUUUAUGUCGAGAGUUCAAAUCUCUCAUGUUACU